rnacentral:ncRNA from 1 species
CCAAGUCCCGACGCAAUCCCCCCCCGGCGCCGGGACUCUCCCCGAGCCGGACCUCGGCGCCCCUCCCCCCGGGCGCCGGGGUCCGGCUCUUUU